UACGGAGGGUGCAAGCGUUGUCCGGAAUCACUGGGCGUAAAGGGCGCGUAGGCGGCUCAUGAAGGCUGUGGUGAAAGUCCGGGGCUCAACCUCGGAUCGGCCGUGGCGACUCGUGGGCUGGAGCACUGUAGAGGCGGGUGGAAUUCCGGGUGUAGCGGUGGAAUGCGUAGAGAUCCGGAAGAACACCGGUGGCGAAGGCGGCCCACUGGGCUGUCACUGACGCUGAGGCGCGAAAGCUCGGGGAGCGAACGGG
rnacentral:rRNA from 1 species